UACGGAGGGUGCGAGCGUUGUCCGGAAUUAUUGGGCGUAAAGAGCUUGUAGGCGGUUUGUCGCGUCUGCUGUGAAAAUCCGGGGCUCAACCCCGGACUUGCAGUGGGUACGGGCAGGCUAGAGUGUGGUAGGGGGAGACUGGAAUUCCUGGUGUAGCGGUGAAAUGCGCAGAUAUCAGGAGGAACACCGGUGGCGAAGGCGGAUCUCUGGGCCAUUACUGACGCUGAGGAGCGAAAGCGUGGGGAGCGAACAGG
rnacentral:rRNA from 1 species